rnacentral:rRNA from 1 species
CCCUUUGUGAACAUACCUACAACUGUUGCUUCGGCGGGUAGGGUCUCCGCGACCCUCCCGGCCUCCCGCCUCCGGGCGGGUCGGCGCCCGCCGGAGGAUAACCAAACUCUGAUUUAACGACGUUUCUUCUGAGUGGUACAAGCAAAUAAUCAAAACUUUUAACAACGGAUCUCUUGGUUCUGGCAUCGAUGAAGAACGCAGCGAAAUGCGAUAAGUAAUGUGAAUUGCAGAAUUCAGUGAAUCAUCGAAUCUUUGAACGCACAUUGCGCCCGCCAGCAUUCUGGCGGGCAUGCCUGUUCGAGCGUCAUUUCAACCCUCAAGCUCUGCUUGGUGUUGGGGCCCUACAGCCGAUGUAGGCCCUCAAAGGUAGUGGCGGACCCUCCCGGAGCCUCCUUUGCGUAGUAACUUUACGUCUCGCACUGGGAUCCGGAGGGACUCUUGCCGUAAAACCCCCCAAUUUUCCAAAGGUUGACCUCGGAUCAGGUAGGAAUACCCGCUGAACUUAAGCAUAUCAAUAA